rnacentral:other from 1 species
AAUGAAUUAUUCCCAAGUCUAAUUCAUCAUCCUUGUCCUGCACAUCAUCCUUAAAUACCUUGCUAUGUGCCGCUGCUUCUGCUAUGAUUAAAAGGAAUUAUUUUUGUUCGGUCUUAACACAGAGCAAGAGUAGUAUCUAGCAGUGCGAAGAAUGCACUAGGAGGAAACAACAAUGGAACAAGGUAAAGUAAAAUGGUUUAAUGCAGAAAAAGGAUUUGGAUUUAUUGAGCGUGAGGGUGGAGACGAUGUAUUCGUUCACUUCUCUGCUAUUCAAAGUGAUGGCUUCAAAUCACUAGAUGAAGGUCAAGAAGUUUCAUUUGAAGUUGAGCAAGGCCAACGCGGACCUCAAGCAUCUAACGUUCAAAAAAUAUAAGUAAAAAAGGCUCGGUGGAGCCUUUUUUUAUU